AUGUCAUGUUUUUUAGCUAUAUGCCUCUUUUUUUUUUUUUUUGCCAUACCAUGCAGCAGGUGGUGUAUUAGUUCCCCAACCGGGGAUCAAACCCAAAUCCCCCUGCAUUGGAAGCAUGGAGUCUUCUGGACCACUGCUGGACCACUGAGGAAGUCUCUGUCUGUGCCAUUUUUGAUUUCUCAUAUUGGCGACCAUUGGAAUCUAGUGGGAGAUUGUAAUCAUGGUUGUCACUUCAACUAUGUGGCUUCAACUAUGACAGUGGCAGUUGAACUGAAGAAAGGAGGUGGGCUUGCCAUAGUUGAGGAAGACAGAGACUGGAGGUGGCUCUUGGAUCCGUCUGAGUUGGGGACUAGGAGAUAAGGUAAGUUGGGGACAGUUAAUUUUGGAUUGUUUGUGGGGCCCCUCAGUGGCAACGUCUGAGUCAGCUUCAGGGAGAGGUUUUUGCUGGAGCUCACUGUGUCCCCAGAAGACCAGGAGAGGUUGGAAGGCUUAGGGCCAUGAUCUAAGUUGUGUUUAAAAGGGCUGAUUUGGCUGUGGAAGCAGAACAGAUGAGGUGGGGAGAGUGGCAGCAGAGACCAGCAAGAGGCUGCUGCCCUUGUCUGGGAGGAAGGUGAUGGGGCUGGACCAGGUGAUGGAGAGGCAGAGGAAAAAGCCAGAGAGACUGCAGAGGUCACUGCCUCAGCACUGAUGUGGGGCUGAUGUUCGAGCAGGUGGCGUGGUGGCAGGGGCCCUGGGAGCAUCUGAAGUGAGAGAUCAGAGCCAGGGUCACCAGCAGAUGGGGAAGGGAGAGACCAGAGUCCACAUGCUCGAGUCCUUCCCUGUCCUUGCUCUCGCUCUCUGCCCGGUGGCUCAGUUGCAUCCCCCUGGUCUGUCAAUCCUGCUCAGCCUGGUGCCCCAAGGGAAAAAAAAACAGGGAUCCCCCCCGCCGCACCCAAACAGGGCAUCACAGCAUCACUGAAGUCCAAGUUUGAAGGGAAAGAUUUUCUCAAAAGGUGUGACCUUGUGGGCCAGCAGUCUCCUGCUCCCCGUCAUUACAGAGGCCCACAGAUGCUUUUCUUCUUUGCUCAGUUCCCACAGGUCCCUGGAGUGGUAAUCCUCUGGAAGCAGUGGCUGUGGGCCGGGCACUGAGUCGGACUCAGACUCUGCCCCUCAAGUUCCCAAUCUGAUCUGCAGGAGACGGGACAUGAGGGGUCCCAGCCCAGGGUGAUGGAUGUUCAAAAGGGAGACACACAGGGCCAGGAGGGAGGCACACAGAGGGGCGCACACCUAAGUCUGCUUCAACCGCAAGGUGACAUCUAAGCUGAGUCCUUCAAUAAAUAUUGACAGCACCCAUGAGUACCUUCUGUC
rnacentral:tRNA from 1 species